AUAUCAUCCUUAACAAAGUUAGCAACCCAAUCCUUAUCGACCAGGAGUACUGCCCUUGGAACCAAUGCAACAAGAACAAACCAUCAACAAUUAAGCUGGUGGACAUUACCUUCAGGAAUAUUAGAGGAACAUCAGGGAACAAGGACGCAGUGAAACUAUUGUGCAGCAAGGGUCAUCCAUGUGAGAACGUUGAGAUUGGAGACAUUAACAUUGAGUACACAGGACCUGACGGUCCACCCACUUUCGAGUGCACAAACGUCACACCUAAGCUUGUGGGAGCCCAGAACCCAAAGGCUUGCGUUGGACCUGUGGUCAAGGCUCCUGGCAAAGAGUAAAAUGUUGAAGCUCAGAUCAACAAACUAGGGCUUUCACAUCAAAUUUUGUUUUUCCUUUUCUCUAACCCUUUUUCAAGUCACAUAUGAGUGAGUUUUAGAAAACUGUAACCAAAAAAAUGUAUAUUCGAUGCCAACACAUAUGUGUGAGUGCAUAAUGAUGUAAUUAAUAAAACUAAAUUAUAUAUUCUGCG